GGCGUGGUAGCCAAGUGGUAAGGCGGUCGUUUGCAAAACCUCUAUACGCGAGUUCGAUUCUCGCCCACGCCUCAA
rnacentral:tRNA from 4 species